rnacentral:pre_miRNA from 1 species
GUGUGGAUGGUGUUCAGUAUCAAGGACAGGCAUGUUUACCUGUGUGUGGAUGGUGUUCAGUAGCAGGGACAGGUGUGUUUAUAC